UUGAAAAUUUUUUUUUUAUCCACAUUCAUUGAAUUUUAGUUCGCAUCAUCUCUCGAAAGAAAUGAAAAAAAUAAAAAACACAUAUAGAUGAAUGACAUAAAAUAGUAAAACUCUAUAUAACCAACCACCAAUACGACGAAUAGGGAUUACAACGGAGAUGAGGAAAAUAAAACCAAUAAGCACCAAGUAGUAACUAGGAAUUAUUACGUAAUAAAGUUGAGCAUUAAAAGAAAUGAGGCCGAUAAGCUCUCAGGACUGUGUUAUUCAUAGUACAGAAGUCAGACAUUGUAUGGAGUUGGUACUCUUCUCAGAGGAGCAAUGAUUUUUUGUCGUUUUUUUUUCUGUGUUUUCAUGACGAUGAUGACUCCACAAAUCCACAAUCCAAAUCCAAUCCGAUGUUGUGCAAACUUUAAAUUGAAAAAAAAAGUAUUCCAGUGUUUUUUUUUUCUU